UCUAUGGUGGUUCUGUGGUUAGAACUUGGCACUUUUUCUGCUGUGAGCCUGGGUUCAAUCCCUGGUCAUGGAA
rnacentral:tRNA from 1 species